UCUUCCUUUUAGGCUUUAUAACCCGGGAAGGAGCUGAAGACUCACGGACACGCGCACACACAUUCAGGCCAAGUGAAGACACCCUCGCGAGCUCCUAGUCCCCCUUUAAAGUUGCAACCGACCCGGGCUGGCUGGGGGUCAUUUCUCGGAGCUGAGUUCUUCCAUCUCCCCACCCCCGGAGCCAGCUUGGCCCGGGGCGAUGGUGCCCAGUUCUGUCGCUAACCAGAACUGCCAGCCACUAGUUCCCCUUCUCUGUUGGUGCCCACAGCUUGUGCUCUGGACACCUAAAUGCGCUCUGAGAACUGUGCAUCUGGGCCCCACGCUCCGGCUAGCAUCCGACAUUCGAACCCUGGCUGGGCACCCUCCCGGCUAGCCGCAGGCUGAGGCCUCACUGAGUGUGCAGCUGCCUGGGCUCUUUCAGGAGGGCAGAGCGGGGCGUGUGAGCGCAGAGGGCGGGGGCAGGAAAAAGCCACAGAGAGAAGGGACGUUGACAAUUGGUUGCACCCGAAUCCUCAUGCUUCCCCUCCCCGAGGACUGGGAGGAGGAAGAGUGCUGGGUGCCCACCCUCGCCUUUCGCUAGUGCGGGAAAGGCGGGGUGGGGCGGGCGUCCUGGGGUCCGCGAGGGCAGCAGAGGCGCCCUAGGGUGCCAGGCGAACUUGCCAAGGGGCGUACCCGACGUCCCAGUGAUUCCACCCUGGUUUCAGGUCUGAGAGGCCGUAGCUUACGGCAGGUGAAUAACUGUUAGAGGCUGCGCCCCGAGGCAUGUGGUUCCUUAGAAGCAAAGCUUUGUGGAGGGGCUCGGCUCGCUGUGUUCCGGUGCAUUCACCUGUCUCUGCCUUUCUAUAAGUGUCCGGAUGGGGCUGCCUACACCAACUCGGGGCUCCCGAAGCCGUCCCAGUGACCCCAGCACGCGGUGUGGAUGCGAGCACACACUACAGAAUCCCCACCCCCAACCCAACAACUGAAUAGAAGCAAUUACAGUUGGAGCCCCGUGAGGAAAGCGGCUGAUUUCACUUAGGGAAAAGCCCUUAAACAAGAGCAAACCUAAGUCCACGUUAGCAAACCAGUUGACCUACAAUUGGAGGGUGUGCGAGGGCGGGCAGGGGCGGUGCGUCUGCGGGGAGGAAAACCCGCUGGGGAGUAGGCAGAGGAAGCAAAAGCAAGAUGCCAGAUCAGUGAAAGAGAGGAUGAGAGGAGAGGAAGAAAGGCGUUUGAUUGCAGAGAGGGAGGUGGGAAGGCGCGGAGACGGCACCGGCUGCCAGGCCUCAAGACACUUCAAAACCUGCUCCUGUGAUUCUUGCCCGUGAUGCAUGGAGAUGAUUUAGUGUUCACCAACCAAGUGGAACUCAGCUGCCUGCUCUCCACUUUUGUCUGAUCCACUGUGAACUUUCUGUUCAGAAGCUGUGAUCGAGAUACCACUAGCUUUCUUUCUCUGCUAAAUUAUUACACUUGUUUUUUAGAAGAUUGGUGAGGCAAGAUGAGUCCAUUCUUGACAACAGUUGUGUUUAUGCUUAAGAAGAAUGAACACUCUUCAGAACUUCACACCUCAGAUACCCAGAAAAAGGGGUGACAGACAAUGUAUAAUUUCCUUAUCCCUCCCUGGAAUCUUUAAUUAAAUGUUUUAUUAGAAAUUUUGUAAAGUUCAGCUGCAGUAUUCUUUCAUGCUGCCUUUAUUUUUCAGUCUCUUCUGUUUUGCAAGCUAGAUAAUGGUCAUCCUUUAUAUAUUUUUCAAUUUCAAACCACUCUCAUAUGUGUCAUCUCAUUUGUUUCUCACACCCCUGAACUUGAAGCAUACAGACUUUAAACAACUUAAAGUUAUGCAGAUGAUAAAUAAGCAGAUCAGAAACUUGGCUCCUGACUGCAGACUUGGGAUUCUUUCCUCACUUCUGAGGAUAUUCCUACCAGGACCCAUAUAACACCCAAUCUCAGGCUAGCCUGGGGGACAAUUACUGGAAGUAUGGAUUAUCACUUCUUAUAACUUAAAGGCUUUGGGCUUCUGAAACCAAAUUUUGAAGAUGAGUAGUUUCUGGAGGAAAGGACUGAGUGAAGUUAUAUACCAAGUUAACGAAGAUGUGAUGCUAGGAGCUAUAGUAGCCACCUUGGAACCAUGAAGGAAAGGCCAAGAGAAUCACAGAGACAUCGAUCCUACAUAUUUGAAGUAUUGAACCACAGCCAGCAACUACUAACCUCCGAACUUCCAAUAAGAAAAAUUCAUCCUUAUUCUUUUAAGACACUAUUGUUGGGUUUUCUAUUAUAUUUACAAUUAUGCUCAAUGCUAUGUGAAAUGCAUCAUCUAACAACUUCAUGUGGCUAAAGAGUCAUAAAUCUAUCAACUUCUCAAGGCAGGCCCUGUUCUCCAACUGUACUUUCCUAAGUUCUUUCCUUCUCCAAUCAAAUAAGCUCAUGAAGGUAUUGGUUCCUUUGUUGCUUUUCUUUCUUUAUCCUGGGUUUACAUACCUCUCUGCUGCCCAAUCCCUAAAUGUGCUUUAUCUUUAAAGGCACAUAAUUAUCUGUAGUCUCUGCUAUAGACCUAGUCCUACGAGAUUCCCCAGUAAGAAACAUGUGUGGUCAUUGUGUUGCCUACACUUUCCUGUGCGGUCUCAUUGUAGUUACCUUUUGCCAUUGUCUCUGAAAAGGCAUUUACAUUUGUUAAAUCAUAUGUCCUAUUUUGUUGUGUGCAUGUGUGUAUAUGGGAGGGAACAAUAAUAAAAUUAAUUGAGCUUCUCUCAGUUCAA